CUCUCAUGGAACCUCAUUUUCUGGCUACGUUACCUUCCAUUGAAUAAUGUAAGAAUGAAGAGGCACAAACAAUGAUUCAAUUUAAACAAACGAAUAAACAAAUGAUCUCGAUUUUCGAGAAGGAAAAACGAAUAAAAAAAGGUGAUUUCAAUUUCACACAACCAUAAGCUGUGGAUAACCCAACGCCGGAUGAGGAGAUAGCGGCGACAGAGGCGGCACGGCGAAGAUUCCGUUAGCAUCGGAACCCCAGAAGCCUGGCCAGCUAGACGGCGUUAAGGGAGCAUCCCUAAUACAGGUGACGUCGAAAUCUUCUACCUUUUCCCUCUUAACGACUUCCACCACCGGCUCUUCCUCUUCCCUUUGGCGUUUUCGGUUAUCGGCGCCGGCUUCGAGGGGAAAGUUGAGGAUGGCUUUGGAGCCGCGAAACCUGAACGCGGCUCGGUCGUAGGCUUUGGCGGCUUCCAGAGCCGUUUCGAACGUCCCCAGCCACACCCUGGAGCCACGCUUGUUGGGGUCGCGGAUCUCCGCCGCGAACUUCCCCCACGGUCUCUGUCGAACUCCUCUGUAGUGCCUUUUCUCUUCCGCAGCCUGCUGCACCACCUUUCCCGCAACCUCACCCUCUCCGAACUGGAUCCACUCCGUCUUUUGCGGGAGAGAGAUUUGCAGCGACUUUUUUCGAUUUGAUUGAGGUUUCUUGCGGUCAUGUGUGUUCGGAAACGUGAAAUCCGAGGUUGAUGUUUGAGGGUGUGGAUUCGGAGUCUGGUGAUCGAUUAUUUGGGGUUUGGACUCGAUUUCGAAACGAGAGAACUGGUGUUCCGUGGAAGUAGUUGGGAAGUCGAAAAAGUCAGAGAAAAAUUGGUCCAUUGUUGCAGAUGAUUGAGAAGUUGAAGAUUGGGAACAGAGGAGCUUGAUUGAGAUGAGGUGGGAUUUGGUUCCUCAAAUAGAAAAGAGAAGUUAUUUUUGGUGAGAUCAGAAGAGGGUGUGAUCGGAAGAGGAGAGAGUUCUCCGAGAAGAUGCAGUUUUAUUUGAUUGAGAGCAGAAAGUUGAAGAGGGUUUGGGUUUGCCAUCAGUGAGGUUUCUGAUACUGAUUUAGAAAUGGUUUCUUACGAGGAAGAAGAUGGAGAAGGAGCGUGCUUGAAAUGUUCAAGAAGCUGAAGGAAGAUUUUGAGUGUAUCAGAGACAGUGGAAAAUUAAGAUAUAUAGCCAUUGAAGAUGAUUAAGUUUCAAAGGAGGAGCCUGCAAUGAUUGUUGCACGAACCUUCCACUAACUUACCUUCUCAAUUAUUUUAAUCGUCUCUCUCUAUCUGCAUCCAUUUUCUAAAUUGGGUCGGAUACUUGGAUUUGCUCCAGAACUCGACCCGACAGGCUUUUCUUCACACUAGCACUCCGCUUAUACAUGACCCGAAUACUUGACUCCGUUCCCUAAUUACCCGACUCAGUUUGGUUCAAACCUAAUCCUGUCUCAACCUUGCCGUAGUCAACUGCAUGUUCUUUGACUUUUGAGGAUCAUUAUACCCAUUCUUUGCUUCUGCUGUCACUUGUCAGAGGGCCCUCUUUGUCUGUCCGUUGAAUUCAGUUUAAAAAAAAAUAAUUACUAAAUGAGAUAACUUGCAUUGUUAAUAGAACAUAAUUAUUUCUACUGAUAUGUUUUACUCCUUCGUUUAGUAUAGUUUAUAUCUCUGUCAAAUGUACUCCACGAUCAAGUUAAUAUCCAAACUAUCCAAAC
rnacentral:sRNA from 1 species